GCCCCCCGCCGACAAAGGCAGUCGAGCGGACCGAAGGGAGCUUGCUCCCGGAUGUUAGCGGCGGACGGGUGAGUAACACGUGGGUAACCUGCCUGUAAGACUGGGAUAACUCCGGGAAACCGGAGCUAAUACCGGAUAGUUCCUUGAACCGCAUGGUUCAAGGAUGAAAGACGGUUUCGGCUGUCACUUACAGAUGGACCCGCGGCGCAUUAGCUAGUUGGUGGGGUAAUGGCUCACCAAGGCGACGAUGCGUAGCCGACCUGAGAGGGUGAUCGGCCACACUGGGACUGAGACACGGCCCAGACUCCUACGGGAGGCAGCAGUAGGGAAUCUUCCGCAAUGGACGAAAGUCUGACGGAGCAACGCCGCGUGAGUGAUGAAGGUUUUCGGAUCGUAAAGCUCUGUUGUUAGGGAAGAACAAGUGCGAGAGUAACUGCUCGCACCUUGACGGUACCUAACCAGAAAGCCACGGCUAACUACGUGCCAGCAGCCGCGGUAAUACGUAGGUGGCAAGCGUUGUCCGGAAUUAUUGGGCGUAAAGGGCUCGCAGGCGGUUUCUUAAGUCUGAUGUGAAAGCCCCCGGCUCAACCGGGGAGGGUCAUUGGAAACUGGGAAACUUGAGUGCAGAAGAGGAGAGUGGAAUUCCACGUGUAGCGGUGAAAUGCGUAGAGAUGUGGAGGAACACCAGUGGCGAAGGCGACUCUCUGGUCUGUAACUGACGCUGAGGAGCGAAAGCGUGGGGAGCGAACAGGAUUAGAUACCCUGGUAGUCCACGCCGUAAACGAUGAGUGCUAAGUGUUAGGGGGUUUCCGCCCCUUAGUGCUGCAGCUAACGCAUUAAGCACUCCGCCUGGGGGAGUACGGUCGCAGGACUGAAACUCAAAGGAAUUGACGGGGGCCCGCCCAAGCGGGUGGGAACCAUGGGGUUCU
rnacentral:rRNA from 1 species